AAUAUAGCAAAUAAUAUAUGCAUUUCGAUCAGCUCGACGAGAUCUUUGCAAUGGUGGACUCCAUUCUGUGAUUGGUGGAAACACCUGGGCGGGCGCCCAAGGGGAGAGGGCGGGCGCCCUGCCCCCCGGCCUGUUCGGCCUCUCGUUCGUUCCCGUGGUUUCUGGACUCUUCUAGAUGAUAGAAAAUUGCGCGGCACGUUAAUAUCUCUAUGUAAACCCGACAUGUGGGCCUUUCUUCCUUAUUUCUUGAUAACCCCCUGCAAAAAUAGACAAACACCAAAACUCGUGGAAUUCUAUCAGAUCAAACCCUAAUUCUAGGUGUUGGUUGCAUUUGGAUCCUUUUCUUUAUUUAUUUGAUGAUUAUAUUUGGUACUUAAGGACCGUCAACAACUCCCCCAAGCUUACCUCUUGCUCGUCCCUGAGCAAGAAUGAACUCAAGAGUUUCUGCAGUGGUUUCAUGCCUUAAAAGUACACACGCAUUCAAGCAAGAUCUCAUCUCUGAGUUAGAAUAUACUGUUAAGAUUUAAAACUUACUCAUUUUACCUUUCACCAUGGGGCUUGUAACCGUCACUUGUGUCUUGAGCAGUUAAAAGAUAGAACGGUCA
rnacentral:lncRNA from 1 species